rnacentral:misc_RNA from 1 species
AAGGAUCAUUAAUGAAGUGAAAUUGUCUUACCUUCGGUGCUGGCUCUUGUUACUUGUAAAAGAGGAUGAGAGCAUGUGCACGUUGGAGGGCAUAUAUCCAAUCCCCACUUGUGAACCCUUGCCUUUGCUGGCUUCGGCUGGUAGAGGAUUUUACACAAACACGAAUGUAAUGAAAUAAUGUUGUGCUGAGCACUUAUAAUACAACUUUCAACAACGGAUCUCUUGGCUCUC